GUGGGCGAUAACCCACGACCCAUCAAUCUGGAAGGACCCGUGGGAGUUCAAUCCAGACCGUUUCUUGGAAGAGGACGUGCCAAUAAUGGGCUCGGAUCUAAGGCUUGCACCGUUUGGGUCAGGGCGGAGGGUGUGUCCAGGUAAGGCAUUAGGCUUAGCGACAGUCCACCUGUGGCUGGGGCGGCUUCUACACCGAUACAAAUGGUUACCGGCGCAGCCUGUAGAUUUGUCUGAGUGUUUGAGGCUUUCCCUUGAAAUGAAAAAGCCAUUAGCUUGUCGCGUGGUUGAU
rnacentral:misc_RNA from 1 species